rnacentral:rRNA from 1 species
AUACGAAGGUCCCAAGCGUUAUUCGGAAUCACUGGGCGUAAAGAGUACGUAGGCGGUUUGGUAAGUCAGGUGUGAAAUCCCGAAGCUCAACUCCGGAACUGCAUCCGAUACUGCCAGACUUGAGUAAUGGAGAGGCAGGUGGAAUUCUCGGUGUAGCAGUGAAAUGCGUGGAUAUCGAGAGGAAGACCAAUGGCGAAGGCAGCCUGCUGGACAUUUACUGACGCUGAGGUACGAAGGCUAGGGGAGCGAAAGGGAUUAGAAACCCCAGUAGUCC